rnacentral:rRNA from 1 species
AACAAACGCUGGCGGCGUGCUUAACACAUGCAAGUCUGACGGGAAUGUCGGCUUCGGCUGGCUAGUACCGUGGCGCACGGGUGAGUAACACGUGGGUAAUCUACCCUAGAGCCUGGGAUAACCUUGCGAAAGCGGGGCUAAUACCAGAUAAGACCACGCUUUGUCCGCAGAGCGCGGUAAAAGGUGGCCUCUUCAUGAAAGCUAUCACUCGAGGAUGAGCCCGCGGCCUAUUAGCUAGUUGGUGGGGUAAUGGCCUACCAAGGCGACGAUGGGUAGCCGGCCUGAGAGGGUGUACGGCCACACUGGCACUGGAACACGGGCCAGACUCCUACGGGAGGCAGCAGUGGGGAAUUUUGCGCAAUGGGGGAAACCCUGACGCAGCAACGCCGCGUGAGUGAUGAAGGCCUUCGGGUUGUAAAGCUCUUUUAGUGGGGAAGAAGCCCUCCAGGACGAAUAAUCCUGGGGUCUGACGGUACCUACAGAAAAAGUUCCGGCUAACUACGUGCCAGCCGCCGCAGUAAAAC